GCUGGGUGAGGAGGCGUAUGCCUGUAGUCCCAGGAACUCAGGAGGCUGAGGCGGGAGGAUCACAAGUUUGAGGCCAGCCUGGGCAACUUAGCCAGACCCUGUCUCAA
rnacentral:sRNA from 1 species